AUUGCGGUCAGCGAUGUCGAUGAACGCGACAUGUCGCCUGCGUUCUGAUCCAUCACAGUCUGAAGCUCGGAAAGACUUAACCUUCUUAUGAAACUCGGAUCUUGUCUUUCACAUUUCCAUUAGGUUUAUAACUACUAGAUUGUCUACCGUAAUUGAAACUUUAUUGACAUUUACGAACAUAGUUUCUUUUUGGAUUUUCGGAGCUUCGUCGCCUUGAAUGUCACGAGAAUAUUCGCUUUUGUGUUUGUUGCUUCAGUGUUUUGUUGGAAAUACUCACUUUCAACAAAACUCUAAAACUCCUCGGUUAUUUUGAUGUUUUGCUUUGAAUGUAAGCGUAUUAUUAUCAUUGAGCUAUUGGCUCGAGAUUCUCGAUUUUGUAUUUUUGCACGUAUUUUGCUUUCAUUAUGUUGGGUCAUUGCGAACCCGACAGUCUUGGGGAAACGUUUGUCUUUUGAAAAUUUUUCUGUACAUUGUUGUGGUAAACUUCGAUUGAAGAAUUUGUCCACGUUCAAUGAGAAAAAUUCAAUGAUAAUGUUUUUCCUCUGCUAUCGUUAAUGAGAUGUACUAUUAUUAUUAUUAUUAUAAUUUUAAUUUAGAAGCUUUAAUUAUAUUAUUUAUGGAUGGACCAAUUUUGCUUGUAAGUUACUAGUCUUCCAUCUACGAGUCAGGACCAAAAUUUCUACAAACUUUGACGAACAAUGAAGGCAAUUGGUAAGCAACUUGAAGGUAAGAACUUGAAUUGGUAAGCAACUUGUUUACGACUCUACUGCCCAGGGGUCUCCAAACUACGGCCUGUAGGAUAUCUCGUAGUUUAACAAAAUGUGUACAAAAAUGUAUACGUUUUUUUCUGGUUACGCAUGAACUGAAAACAGUAAACGGACGUGACCGGCCCACGAAGGUUUCAGACCGAAGGUUUCAGACCGAAGGUUUCAGAAAGCGUGACCGAAGGUUUCAGAAAGCGUGACCGAAGGUUUCA